UACGUAGGAUGCGAGCGUUGUCCGGAAUUAUUGGGCGUAAAGAGCUCGUAGGCGGUCUGUUGCGUCCGCUGUGAAAACUCGGGGCUUAACCCCGAGCCUGCAGUGGAUACGGGCAGACUAGAGGUAGGUAGGGGAGAAUGGAAUUCCCGGUGUAGCGGUGAAAUGCGCAGAUAUCAGGAGGAACACCGAUGGCGAAGGCAGAUCUCUGGGCCGUAACUGACACUGAGGCGCGAAAGCGUGGGGAGCGAACAGG
rnacentral:rRNA from 1 species